ACGACUCUCGGCAACGGAUAUCUCGGCUCUCGCAUCGAUGAAGAACGCAGCGAAAUGCGAUACUUGGUGUGAAUUGCAGAAUCCCGUGAACCAUCGAGUUUUUGAACGCAAGUUGCGCCCGAAGCCUUUCGGCCGAGGGCACGUCUGCCUGGGUGUCACGCAACAU
rnacentral:rRNA from 2 species